CACCUAGCUGCUUCUUUGUCUCUCUCUGAGUCUUUGGCUCCCUAUCCACUUUAGUUUGUGCGUUAGUCUUAAGCCUUAUGGAUUUGCCUAUCAUUUAUCCCUUUUGCUCACUGUAUCACCCUAGCAGUUUCAUAAUUCACAUUUCCAGGCUAGGGGGGUCCUGAUGGACCAGUACCUGACCACUAUAUGGCAGGUUUGGUGAUCCAGCAGAUUCCCUUAGAAAGUGCAAUGCAUGGAACAGGCCAUAGCAGCUGUCUGAAGCAAAGGUCCCCUAUCCUUCUUAAAUCACCCCAUAUUUUGGUAUUAAAUGAAACUUCAGCUCCAGCAUAGCAUUUCCUACAGGCUAGCUCACCUCAUGGUAAAUCAUUAUAUCCAAGUCCUGUAUGUAUUUACUUCCUACAAAACAGCUCUUCUUCAGUUAUCAUUUCUGUGAAAGCUCCCUGUCCUCCACACCAGCUCUGUGCUUGUUUGUUCCUUCUCCUUCCUCAGCCCCCAUCUCUUUUGUAUGUUUCCCUUUCUUUUCCAUUAUUUAAUGUGAUACUGCCACAUUACUUCUUGCCUAGAUUUUUAAAAAAUAUAUAAUUUCUAUUCAUCUCUUCAUCUGAGUCAGAAUAAAAUACUUUUACUUUCUUCAAUGUAUGUACUCACGCUGAGGAAAAUUCCUCAAGGGGCCCCAUGGCCCAUGGAUUGAGUACUGACUCCUCUGCUUGACUCGUAAGAUCUUCAGUAAUGUGGCCAUGACUCCCUUUUUCAUUUCUGUUGCUCCCAGUUAUUUCCCUGUCCUCUCGCUAAAUAGGACUAACUGAGUGUUCUUCUCUCGAGCUUCUUGUUUUCUUAGCCCCUGGCCUCUGUUGUUUAUUUUUAGAAUGUAUUUAACUAUAACAGUAGAGGAUGAUGAUAGAGAUGUAAACACUGGGGCUAGACUAACUGGGUUGGGAACUUGGACAAGUAUUCUUUUUGUCUCAUUUUCCACAUCUGUACAAUGGAUGUAGCAAUAGUAUCUACCUUAUGAUUGUUGUAUUAAAACUUAACUCACUGACAGAUGAAUGGAUAAAGAGGAUGUGUAUAUAUACAGUGGAGUAUUACUUAGCCAUAAAAAAGAAUGAAAUCUUGCCAUUUGUGACAACAUGGAUGGACCUACUGGUUAUUAUGCUGAAGUGAAAUAAGUCAGAGGCAAAUAUCUUACGAUUUCACUUAAGUAAAUAUGUGGAAUCUAAAAAGGAAAACAAAUGAACAAACAUUAUAAAGCAAACAGAGUCAUAGAUAUAGAACAUAAAUACAGAGAUACCAAAGACUACCACUGUAUAAUAUGAAAUAGGUUCACUGCCUACCCCCUUUUCAUAUUAUUUAUGAGUUUGAGCAUCCUGCCUGUUGUUCUUUGAGCUCCUUAAGUAGGAAGAUUGUAUUUUAUCCAAACUUGUGUUGUGGUACAUGGUAGGUGCUUAAUAAGCAUUUGUUGGAUUGGAUUAUAUCUAGAAUACGCUUCAGCUGAAAUACUGUAGUAACUUCCAUCUGUCCUUAUAACUGUAAAUUUGCACUUAAGUAUAGUGUAUUGGUUAACUAAUCAGAAUAAAAAAUAACUAGACAUGAAUCUGAAUCAGAACUUGGUACACUUUUUCUGGGCAGGACCAAAAGUAAAUAUAUUUGACUUUCCAGGUCAUAUUAUCUUUGUCAAAACUAUUCACCUUGGAUGUUGUAGUCACAUGUGCAAUGAGGCCAUUUGUAUCACGGUCAUGUAAAUGAGUGGAUAUGGCUGUGUACCAGUAAAACCUAAUUUUUGCCCCCCCCCAAAAAGUGGACUGUAAUUUGCCAACACAGACCUAUAUCAUUACUAUGUAGACCACUCAGUGUUUUGCAGUGCUUUUGGCUGCACAAGUUCCAUGCGCUGAAUCCAAAGGAAGAAGAGCCUGUCUUCAUGUGUUGGUUUUCUCCUUAGGUGUAAGGAUGCCUUUCCCGGAAGACCUCAGCAGAUCCCUGACAUGUUUAACAGCCCCGAGGUGUAUCACACUCUCACACUUAAAUUGGUCACUGACAGUGAAAUGGGACUACCGUGAUCGGCCCAGACACAUAGGGACUCGUGUGAUUGGGGAUGGGGCCUGCCUGACCGCAUCAAGUGGGCACGUUGAUGUGGCCUUUUGAAAUGAGAACCAUUGAAUUGUACAUCCAACGUCAUGUCUUAGUAUGUUGUCGUGGUAAGUCUUCACGGGUGUGAGGUUUCUUUGGUGUCCAUCUUCAGACUUGACUUAAAUUAUUCUUGUAACAUAAAUAGACCUUUUAUAUUAAUGAAUACGAUGACGCUGCAUGACCAGACCUGAUUUGUAUUGUGAAGCUUUAGGUUUUCCAUAUGCUUUUUUGCUCAUUUUGGUACCCACAGGUAGGCAACACAGAGAAAACGGCUGUCUUCUCAUUAAAGGAAAUGGUUCACCGUAUGCCUUUCUUCUGCUGCUUGAGAAGGGGAGACCAAUCAGAAAUAAAAAGGGACUAGGUCCCUCUCAUACUUGGUAAGGGCAAGGGAGGGAACCUCCUAGUAUUUAUCGACAACUGUUGAUGAAACAGUUUGCUGCCCAUCUUAUUAUAAAGAGAAUUCUCUAGUGCAUAGUGUUGAAAUGUUUUAGUUUCUAAAUUAGACUUAGAGCCCUUUGGCCUAACUUGAGAAUGUUUUGACGGCCCUUUGGUUAUUAUAGCAGGACUUGGUCUCUCAGGGGUCUGGGAUGGAGCUAAUUAUCCCAGUCAUUUCUGGUAGAAAGGGAGCCGCUACGCCUUGUCUGAGACUGCAUUGUCAUCCUUGUCCUGGGUUGUGUGGGACCGUGAUACAAAUGGCCUCACUGUUUUUCUGUCUGGCUUUUCUGCAGUGUAAAACUAUCCUCUAGCAACUACAAAAUGCCUUUCUUUUACUCGUUGAAAGACUUCAGGGAAGAAAGAAGUGGAGAGAGGGCUGUGAGGGAAAAGAAGCCAUUAACGGGACAUGUUUCCUGUCCCUCUUCAGCCAGAGUCUAAUCUUGGAUGAUGGUAUUCUCCAGCGUUUAUUGUGAGGGCAUUUGAGAAGGCCUUCCCCUCAGUCCUAUCUCAGUUUACACUCUAUAAAAUUGGAUUAGACAAUGUUAAUUCAAUUAAUGACUGUACUGAAAGUUUGUCUCCGUGUGCAGUGAAAACACUAGGACAGCCUCUAAUAAUCUAUGGAUUUAAUGACUGCAACUUUGAAGAGUGUUAAGCUAAAGUGAAGUUCAGAAUGGCUUGUUAACUGGGUUUAUUAGCUGUUGACCUUCCCUUUCAGCAUAAUAGUGGCAGUCAGACCGAAGAGAGCUCUAACGUCCUGAUUAGCAUUUAUCUAAAGAUAGGCUGCUGCCUGUUCCACAGUAAAUUAGUUCAAUCAGCCAUAAAGAGCUUGAGAAACAUUUUCAGCUUUAUAAAAAGAAUUAGAUGUUAGAACAGUUCAUCUGCCAUAGUGCAGUGAAGAUGGAUUGAGCCCCCGAACAUGCUCAUUUGAAGAAGGCGCUUUGAGGAUAUUGAGUAAUUGAACAGAUUUCCCCGCAAGAUUGAUCAGGGGCUCUGGUUUCCCUGUACAAGAGUGAUGCCCUAAUUUUUGCCUUCUCCUAAGAACUCCACAUCUGCUCCUAUUUCCGUGUGUUCGUUCAGUGAAGCUGAAAACCCGUUUCUUUAGCACCAGCUAUACACUGUGUAUCACUUAGAAAAUAAAAGAAACAGUCUGGUGCUCACAGAGAGUCUCUGAUUUGAUUGAGAAGAAGAAAACCAAACUAAAACUUGAAAAGCAUCACUCCCACUAACACCAGCAUAAGGUAACUGAAGAGAAGAAACUGUAUAAUGACAGCUGGCACUUUUUAAAAUACAGAUCAUCUUAAAAAGUGAAGCAUAUUUGUCCAAAGAAACAAGAUAGUAGUCAGAUAAUAUUUCUGAUCCAAGUCUUGGCAUCAACUAAGUUCAUCUCAUAGUGAGUCAUAAAAGUAAAGAAGCAAAAAUUAUAAACCUUUCUAAUCAUUUAAAAUCUUAAAUUAUGACCCGGGUCUUUUUUUUUAAGGCAUAAAUGUACUGUACAAUUGAUUUUUAUGAGGUGCCCCAAUGUACUAUAAAGUAUACACAGAGCACAUAAAAUUCUAACUCUCCUGUAUCAUAAAUUUGACCUCACUGAAAUGAAUAGGCUUACUCUAUGGCAAACACUAAUGAAAUAUUUAAUUAACAGUCUCUCCACUCAUCUUUUUAGGAUUUAGAAGGGCUUCCUGGGGACUGUUUUUGUGGCCAAGGUUUUCACAAAACAAAAGAAUAAAACCUUUCCAUGAAAACAAAUGUAUUUUUUCUCUUGGUAAAUAUUUCAAUAGAGACAGCUAGUUUAUAAUUAGACUGAUGAACUUGAAUCUGGAUUUUGUCCCCAGACCUGUGAUCAUCCUUUAAAAAAAAGCUAUUCAUAUAGUUAAGUAAGUAUGCGAUGACCUCGUUCAGACUUUCUCUUGACCCCACUGGCCUCUGGGUACACACAGAAUAUGAGUGUCCUGGCAGCUCCCUCAAACCAAAGCUUUGGUGUACUUUGUGAGGAAAGAGUUGCAGUGUUGCUGAGGACAAGCUGUAGGGCUGCAGGCUUCGUGGACUCUAAAGGACCAUCUAAGGGAGUCUCCUCUCAAGCCAUCCUUACAAUUCCUGUAUUGGUUUACUUUUAUUCCAAGAAAAGUUGUCGGGAAGCCAUGACUAAAUGAAUAGAUCAAGGCAAC
rnacentral:lncRNA from 1 species